GUUCACAACAGCUCCGGGCUUGUUCAGGCUGCUUUAGGGCGACGAUUUUUACACAAAAAACGGAGUAAGCUUUCGCGGUAACGCGGCUCGUGACAUCUACUUUUAAAUCACAGGCGUCGUCGGUUACUUCCCUAACUUAAUUACACGUAAAUAACGAUUCCAGAUUUAAAGCCUGCAAACGCGUUUUGAGUACUUGUCGAAAUAUACGAUCUUUUCUUUUCUUCAUCUGGAUAAUAAGCAAAUUACACAAGGCGAAACGAGGUUACGGCGCCUCAUCGAACCGGGUCCUAAAGCCCGCCGAGUUGCUGGUCACAUUUCCCCAAAUGGUUAAACUGUUUUUAAAUUCUUCGACAUAAUGGAAAAUGUUCUGUUGGAGCAAGGCUAACCGCGAACGCUGCCUGUAUGUCAGUAGCGUGCACGCUGACGUAACAAUCACGCGCUUUUGAAUCCGAAAUUACACUUUUUAUUUAAUUUUUUAUUUUCUUCUUGCCAUUUUUUUAAUUAGUGAGUCGAAACAUAUUUUGUGAGCACACGAAGAAAAAAAAGGACAGGAAAAAAAAGGAGUCGUCCAGUUGAGUAAUGGUCAUUAAUACGAUCCACUGGUUCAGGAAGGGCUCUGCUGGGAGCGGACUCGGUCCGCUGCGUCUACAUCCUCGACCCCUGGUUCGCGGGCUCCUCCAACGUCGGCAUCAACAGGUGGAGCAUUUCUGUGUUUCUGUGUGGGUGUGUGUGUGUGUGUGAUCGCUGCAGGUUUUGACACCGAAGGUCUGGCGUCCGCCGUGUGGCCGGGGGGGGGGGGGGGGGGAACCGAAGCCCUCGCACGGUUCGUGAGGCAUCUGGAACUACCCGACAUCUCUGGGUUCAUAUUCAUAGGACAAAAGGUCCUUGUAUAUAUAAUGAAUUUGCUAAAUUUCACAUUACGACUUGUAAAUAUUGUGCGUUGUAUGUUUUAUCUUUUGUGUAGCUAUUUAUUUAUUUUUUUAUAUGAUAAAUUGUGGAUGUUUUUUUGUUUAGUUUAAAUAAAAUUUAAACAUUUGUAUACUGUAUAAAUAUUGACAUUCUAAUACCGCUGCCUUGUUUAUUCUGCUUUUCUCUAUCGAGUGUUUAUUUUUAUUUUGUAUGAUUGGUCAUCCUGUUUCAUUCUAAAAAAUAAAAAACACAUUUAAAUGAU